rnacentral:lncRNA from 1 species
GCUUGUUGAGGGUAGUUGACAGUGGGGGGCUGGGGUGGGUGGAAAUAGAUUAUUCAAAUCACAAAGAAGUAGGUGUGCCCUAAGUGACUGUUCCAUUACGGCGAGGAAGAAAUGUUUGCCUUCCUAAGCAUUCAUCCAACUCGCUGCUGCCGAUUGUGUGGGGCCGGAGGAGAGUGCCUGCUCACGAUCGGAAAGCAGCUCCUCUCCGUGUCCUGUGCUGGUGACUUCAGAGAGUGCAUUGUCGUGUAUGGACACCACACCGACCACUCUGUAACCCUCACCCUUCGCCCAGGCCCCUCCCUGCCUGCUCUGGCUGUGCACAGCUACCCCAGAUCCUCGCCCUGCUGUUUGUGGCCCCCACACUUUGAUUUCCCCUCGUGUCUUCACUUUCCACACUUGUACAUCCCGAAAGUUUCCAAGUCCUAUGGAUUCUGCUUCUGUUAUUUCUAAUUCAAAGGUUCUGGGCUGUGCCUUCCAACUGGAUAAAGCUGACCCUGGAAUUGGCACCUGGUGGGUGAGCAAUCAGGGUCCGUUGAAUGAAAAAUGGCCUCCACCUUAAUCAAGGUUUCAGCUCCAAAAAUAAUCCUACGUGUAUCUCUGCCCACUACUGCAUUAUCCUCCAUGACAGUCGGCUUGGAUCACAUUAUUUUAAUGUUCAGCACCUAGCUUUUUCCUGAAUCCAAUGUAAAGUACUCUUUUCUUUUUCUUUUGGCACCAGGGAUCGAACUCAGGACCUUGCGCUUGUGAGGCAGACUCAGUGCCACUGAGCUAAAUCCCUGAUCCCCAAACUACUCUUUUUAAAUACACCCCAACUUAUUUUUCCUCAGUACUCCUUCACAAACUCCUAAAUACCCUAUGCUCAACACAAAACAUACAGUUCCCAAAGGAAGAUCUUCCAGCCUACACUUACCCAACUUUGUGAUGGGAAGAAAGCCACAGGGUAGGCUGGGAAGCAGGCUCUGAAGUUUGAAUUCAGUCUGUUCUGGGCUGGUGAUAGGUGGUGAUGCUUCUUCCCAGUCUGGACAGCAGCAGUGAGUCAUUUCAGCAGGAGAAACGCAGAAACUGUAGGUGGCACCGUGCGGGCAGUGUGUUUUGGAUAUUGUCAUUCAGAAAGUUAACUGAGAUAGUCAAUGCUUAAUUAUAAAAUGGGCUUUGAGUUGGGUGGUGCUGCUUAACUGUAUGUAAGGAAGGCAGGCCAGGCACAGCUGUGAUGUCCAGUAGGUGAAGAAUAGUAAAUACAUUUUUGAUUUUUUCUAUUUAUGAUGGGUUUUAGCCUCAGUAGAAAUGCAGCAGCACCUGUAUUAUUUAUUCAUUUUGGUCUCUGCCUCAUAGCUUAGUUUAUCUUCAUUUCUUCAACCGUAAUGCUUACUCUUGUUUAUUCAGCAGUAUUGGGGAUUGCACUUGGGGUCUUUGCACUGAGCUACACACCCCGUCUUUUCCCUUCUUUCCUGAGUCAAGGUGUCGCUAAACUGCAGAUUUUCCUGGGUUGAUCUCCUGAUUGUGAUUGUCCUGCCUCAGCCUCCUAGAGUGUAUCCGGCUUCACUCAUCUUUUAAAAGUGAAUUUUUACUGGGCUUUUAAGGCACAUUUCAAAUGCUGCCCCGCCCAUGGAGCUACAGUAUUUGGGUUCUGUAUGUCUUUUUCAGCUAAGCUGGAUGUUCUUCCCUUUUCAGGGAAUUUAUGGGAUUCCUACCAGCAGGUACCUGGUCGGGAGAUGGGAGCUAAACUUCCUUUUUUUGUGCCUGGACCCUCAAUGUCUUACACAUAGUAGGCACAUAGAGUACUUUCAUUAAAUUACAUUCAUGUUUGUUUUUUCCUCAGGGCUGCCGGGAUGUUUCUUUCUCUUUUGAGUCCAGGUUGAUGCUCCUCACUGUGGGGCGUGUGUCUGUGUGAGUAGCCCGCUUAGCUCCUUCAGUGAGGAGACAUACGUUGUUUAGUCCUUAUUUUAAACUACUUUUCAGAAUGGGAGAACAACGCCUUCAUUUUGGAUCCAUGUGAUGCACUUUGAAUUUGCUCAGCUUUAGUUUGUGCUGCCCCUCAUUCUGUGUGGAAAUUAGUUCCACCGAAGUGCCACUGAACUCAGAGCUGCCUGCAACUUGAGAUGCAAACUCCAACACUGUGGGCCACUUUUGAGAAGCAUGUGGUCAUUCGGGAAACAAAGACACUCCUGUUUCCUCUUCUCAAUAACAAUUAAGACAUCAGAUUAAUAGAAUCUUUAAAUUCUUGAAUGAUGCUUGCAGAACAGUUUGUGUUUGCUUUAACACAAAGGAAUACUUUCUGAAACCUAAAGGUCACCCAAGAAAUAAGAGAGAGACAAUUUAGGAAUGGUGCAUGCUGGUAGAGUUUUGCAGAAUGGCAUGUGUUCUUUACAGUGUGUUUCUGGCUUUGGAGCCACUUGGCAUGGGAGUACACUGUGAUUUACUGCAGACAGGCAUUCCUGGGCAAGGAGUCCCCUGCAUGGAAGGGACAUGCCAUCAGGAGAAGGAGAGGACACUGGGGGUGGGAUGGGGGAAGAAGACUUCUCAGUUCCCACUCUAGCAUUUACUUAAUGAGUGUAAUGUUCUUGCUAAUGGGAUUUAACCACAAUACCUGUCUCUAACCUUGUCACCGAAAAGGUAGUCUACAUGCCCCUCUUUUCAAUGCUGUCUGGGUGGAAACUGUGCCCAAGUCUGUUCUCCCAAUUUUCUAAGUGGUAAUCCUAGAAUUAUCUUGGCUCAGAAAUAAAUGAAGAACUCAUGUACAGGAGUCAGAUUUCCCUACAGGGGUUGUAACUGAAACAAGGAUUAAGUACCAGUGUACAAAACCUUUCAAGCAAUGGACAGCAUGUCAAUUGCGGAACACUCUAUCGUAGAAGGGCCCUUAGCGCUUCUCUUUUAUAAAGCCUGAGAUCAGAUUUUGGUGGAGAAUUAAAAGCAGGGCAAUUUAGCUCCUUUAAAGGGUUGCUGGUUUGGGAGGACCCAGCUAUUUUUAGCUCUGUUGCUGUCUGUCCAGGAAGCUAAAACAGCUAGUCAAUUAAAUGGUAAACAGUGUGUGUGUGUGUGUGUGUGUGUGUGUGUGCAAGGUGUUGUGUAGGAGUAGGGCAGGGAGCUGGGGAGAUAAAAUAGGCCUCAGAAAAGAGUCUACCCAGGGCAAGAACUUUGCAAAGAGUUGCACAGUGUCAUGCAGAUAAAGCAUCCACUGGUGGCCACCUGUUACACAGUGCACACGUUUAUUUGAUGUUGCGCAGCAGAUGGAAUGGAAUGACACUAAGCCAGCUGAUCACUCAUGCUCAGGCAUCCAUUGAGUGAUGGUCACAAACUCUCUGCCAUUUACUGACUAUCUGCUAUACACCUAGCAUGGCGCUUUACUUCCGGUGUGCCAUUGGAUGUUGACAGCUGCAGCCUGAGAAGCCGAUACAGAGACAUUUUUGCCCAAGAUUACCUACCUGAUAGGUGCCUGAACUGGAUUAGAAUCUAGUUUUCUUUCCAACUCUGCUCUAGUCACUUCUGUAGCCUGCCUCCCACACUGGUCCCAGCUGCACUGACACUAUGUGAUCUGAAAUCGGUGUGUGAGGGCACUUUGGCCUUCCUGGAGAAAGGCAUGGAGCACACACAGGCCCGAUAUGCACACACAGAAAUGUGUAUAUACUGAACCUACAUUUAAAUCCACAUUUUAAGUGUGCCAGUAUCCUUAAAAAGAAAUAAUGAGGGACUCUCAUUUACAUUUUGCUUUCCAGUUUUCCUGGAACUGUAAUUUGUACUCCUCUUUUUUAAAAAAAAUCCCCUUUACCUUCUUUUAUUUAUUAUGAUCCCUGGAGAAUGUGUCCUCUGCUCAUGGCCUAGAUAAGAGAUCAUGGGUAUGGAGCAGAGGUCAGCAAGAUAGACGUAUGUUAGAAAAAAAAAAGAAAAUAGCAGGGUGGAACCACAUGGCUCUUAGUGGUCAUUUUUUCCCCUCAUGCUGUGUAGCAAACCUGAGGCAUGCUCAAUUUGGCAUCUUUGAAUUUAAACCAUGGAUAAACCAAAUAGAUCACAAACUAUGAUUCCAAAUAGAAACUGUGGAUUUAUCCGAAGGUAUAUUAUAUGAUCUCAUCCAAACAUAAAAUUCAUAUUCUAAGAGUGGUGUGUAAAAUUCCCCGAGAUUUUAGUGCAAGAUAAUUUUCCCUUUUCAUGUGCCUUUCCUCAUAUUGAGAUAGGUGGAAAUCUUUUAAGAUUUUAAUUAACCUUCGUCCUAAUGAAAAACCAACUACCAAUCUAUAGAUGGAAGGAUAUUUCCUUGGACAAUGUAGCCGUUAGUGUAAGGUCUUGUUGAAUCUCUUUCAACAAGUGUUUGGAAAAAAUCAAAUUUAGAAAUAAACAUUCAUAUCUAGAGGGCCUAUCGGGGUUUCCCUCCAAGCAGACAAAGGAAUACUUUCAGUCUUAUUAUAUGUCUUUGGACAAGCUCAGCUCUCAGGGCCUGCUGAGCUCUAAUAUCUUACGAAUCACUAACAGUCAAACUUCUUUCAUUUUGAGGCCCAUUCCUGGAGGGAUAAAGAUAAUGUGGUCAAGGAUGCAACAAUCAGCUGUUGGACUCAGAUGUGGCUGUAGAUAUAAAACAGAGUAUCUCUUCCUUUCCAGAUCAAAGGGAGAGAGUCCUUAGAAUGCUCAAGUUCGAAGUAGACAAAGAGGAGAAGGAAUAUCUAGCAUCAAAAUAGUGGCAAAUAUAAAAAUCUAGGCUUAUUACUGAGACCUAGGAAACAAUUCUCAAGGAAUGUUCCUGCUGCCAGUUACCUGAGAUUUUUUAAUUACAGGCAAUUCAUGAUUACCUGUGAAAGGAGGGAUGGAGAGGAGAACUCAAACAAUGAAUGUUGCAAAAUCAUACAAAUUGGCUUGGGAAUAUUCUGCAUGAUUUCUCCCUCUUAGAAAUUUGCCUUCCUAAUUGUAUUUUGCUUAAUCCAAUAUUAAAAAUUAGUUGGUUUCCCCUGAGAAGCUCUGGAGUUAAACUGCAGAGGGAAUUAGUUUCAGGAGCAUGCCACUUGGAACGUGGUGGAUGAAACGUAUUCGGGCCUUAAUGGACCAAAAGCUCCCACAGAUAUUUUAAUCUUAAAGGAAAGUGUCAUCUUGAGCACCUUACUAGUCUUCUCAUGUUGCCUAAAAGGCUGUAAACAAGUAUUUGUGAUCGUUAUGUAGGUGAGAUUAUUUCUACCUAGAUUUGUGCAUUUUUACCUGGAGAAUGUUCCAUUCUCGUCUCUCCCCUCCUUGGUAGCUGUAGUAAAUAAUAAACCAUCUAUCAGACUUAAGCAUAGGGCCUUAAUGGGGCCAGAAAUUUUGUUGAAUAAAUGAGAACAUUACUUAAGGCAGGUCUGGGUCUCAUUGUGUGACACCCAAGCAAUCCAUGAGGUGAUGUUUGUGAUUUAGGAAUCCGAACCCUUAGGCUAUAGAGUUGUUUUCUUUGGGGUUCCAGACUAAGUUCCCUUUGCUUCCUUCCCAACUUCCUUAAUUCUUUCCUUUCUCCCUCCCUGCCCCAUUUUUUAUAUUUGCCUUGUACCAUAUUGAAAUUAUUUCAUAUUGUAAUGUUCCGUCAGUAUAUACAAAUUCAAAAGUAGACGUACAUCCCUUCAGCUUAUAGUGCAUCUACAACUGAAAAUCCAAAACAAAUUUGCACACUGAAUUCCAACAAAAUGACAAAUGCCGCACUCAGAUGAACAAUACUGAUUUGACGUGAUGAACGACAGUGAGCUAACAUUAAGUGCUCACUUGUGGCAGUGGUGGUGGACCGACUGGUAGGCUGGUGAUGCUUUAAUUUUAUCAUACCUUUCUGUGUUUGUGAUGUAGAAGACAGUUCUAACAUCUUACUUAAAUCCCCUAGAAAGCUUUGGUCCACAUAAGUGUGCUGAUAGAUCAUGUAGCCUCACGAAUCCAUAAUCCAUUUUUAGGUUCACAAUCAGGUAUUGUGGGUCCUGGUGAGUAUGUAGUUUUGGGGAGUAUUUUAAAUAAAAAGUUAAAAGGUAAUGAAAGCAGAAUAAGUGGGGUUCCUCUCAGGCCCUUGGAAAGAAUCUGUACAGAGCAGUGCUGAACAUCAGGCAUUCUUAGCUUCAAAUCCAUCUUCCAAAUCCAUCUCGUUCAUGGGUCAAGCACUUCUCUACUUUCCUUUUAUUACCAAUAAAAAUGUCCAACCGGGUAACAAUGAGGAGUUGUAUUUUGUUUUCAUUUUAAGGAUAUAGUUUUGCAUUAUACAUUGGUACUUUUUAAAGGUAAUUCUUAAAAUAAAAACAGAAAAUUAGAUAUGGUUAUUUGUAGCACAGAUGGUUGCACAAUCUUUUUAUGUAAACUAUUUCUCCUAUGAUGGAUUCCUACAAGGAAACCCUGGGAGAAAGUUUUGGGGCUUGCCUUUUUUUUCAGCAUUCGUUUAAUUUACAGAGGUCAUGGAAAUAGAGAGGUCAGCAUUUCUCAAGAACAGCUUUUCCCAACCUGCCUGGCUUCUCGGAGCUUGAUCUGGGGGCUCACACAGCCCUUGUCAUUGUCUGGCACCUCGCCUGGUAACAUGGUUGUGAGCCCUGUCAGAAGACAGGGCCAAAGUGUGCCUCAGGUCAGCAUUUCUCUGGGGACCGAGGGGGCAGGCAGAACCCAGAGGUCAGAUCUGCCUUGGGGAUAACAUUGCAGAGUCCAGUGGUUGCAAUCAGGUGUGUUAUAAGUCAAAGCCACAUGGCAAACAGCAGGCACAGGGAAUGCUCAAAGGUCAGAUGGGCAACACAAGCCAGGGUCAGGAAGAACUUGGAGCUACAAUACCAGUUGGCAAGCAAAGCAGUCAUAAAAACCAUGAUCAGGCACAUUAUGCCUGUUGGACCUAAAUUCUUUCUGCCUACGAGACUGCUGUGCUCAGAGACAUUGGCUCUGGUACCAUGUGAGAGCACCUGGUAGACUGGAGAAUAAACUAUUAUACUCAAGAUCUAACCUGCCCUCUCAGGUUCUCUUCUCUCUAAGACAGGACAGUGAUGUCUCCACUGAAGUGACCUCCAUCGUACAGGUAUCCAGGAUACAUGCUCUGGGUGGAGCUUAGUUCUAAGAGAAUGUUUAUCUUGGAACCUUCUAAGGCUUUUCAUCAAAUAGUCCUAGCUUUCUUACUCCUUGCUUUAUGGGGUUGUUGUGAAUGGGUUUUGUAAAUAAUAAAGGACUACCACAUACCAGAUGACUACAAUCCUUUCUUUCCAGUGGGGAUUCUGAUGUUUAUAUUACCUGAAAGUUGUUUUCAAGUGAGGUUCUCAGCUAAUAAAUAUUUUUUUGGGUUUUCUUUCUAUUUUUUUUUUCCUUGAUUGAGCCUCAUCUUUUUGGUGACCAAUAAUUUAUUGGAAAUUUUAUCUGAGAAAAAUGUUUGCAGAGAUGGAGAGUUUCCCAGAUUCAAAAGAGAUUUUUCUUCUAAAACUCAGAGCUGGUAGAGCUACAAGACCAGCCUCUUUGUCUAAUCAAUCAGGUUUUUAACACAAUACACCCAGCUGAUGCUUGGGUAGAAUACAAAUUCCCAGUCAUGUGAGCUCUUAUCAGUUAUAAUACUGACAAAGAAUUAGCCAGUCUCUUUUGGUAAAAUGAUAGUUGCGGGCGCCUUAAUUUUUCUAGAAAUAUUUGGGGGAUUUGAAAGCUUAAGAAGUAAACAGGUUGUUUUGCUCAGGAAACCUUCUCUGAAAGACUGAGCAGGGUUCAUCUGAUGACAUUAGCUUUGCAAGUAAUUUCCAUGAUGUCAAGGGCACACUGGAGAUUAAAGAGGGAUUAAGACCUCCUUGCACAGUUAUGGCAUUGCAGUAAAUGGACUGGACUUGGCAGGCUGCAGCUCCGGUCGGCAACUUUCCAACACCUAAUCAUACACAAUAUAGGUUUGUGGUGUUACCUGGGCUAUUUUCACAGAGGCCAAGAAAUGUUUAACAGAUAAGGUGGGAGGAGAAAGAGGCUGGGAAGGAGGGUGGACCUGAGAAGAGCAGUUUAAGACACACCUGCCACCAUCAAGAGCUGCCGAAGAAGAUCAAGACAUUAAGGAAAAACAAUUUUUUUCAUAAUGUUUCAAAACAUGAGUUUCCAUCCUUUUUCCACUCCCAAAUUCUCCAGAUAUGCCUCUCUCUUAAAAGCUUUUUAUCCUUCAUGUUAUUAUCAAUUUCUUCAGCAAAAGGAGGCAGGUUUGUCCAGGAACUUCAUGGAAUAAAAAUGAGUUUAUGUUUUAAAACGGAAACAGCUGGAUGGCCAAAGCCAGGCAGGGAGGCAGCUCUGGUUUCAUCAGCAAAGGGAAACUCAAGGGCCUGGAGAGAACAACUGGGCUGGCAGCCAUGGCGGGGAGAAGAAAAGGAAACACACGAUCAUAAAGAACUAAUCAUGAUGAAAAAUGAAAAGCGAGAAAGAGCCAAGAACAACAAGCAAUAAAUAGAUUUGGAAAGGGGAAAAGACCAAAGGAAUGCAAAACCAUACUCAGGAAAGGGGCAGCAAGAUCAUGUGCGUUUCAUUGAAAAAUGUUUAAUAAUUCUUAAAAUCAUUAAAGAGUCCUACAGAAAUGUUUGGAGAUAACUUGUCAGACCUGAGAUUUAAUUCUUUGUGUUAUUUCAAAGCUGAUUUCAGUGCAUGAAAAGAAACAAAGUAAGAAAGGAAGAAAGGAAGAAAAGGAAAGGAAGAAAGAAGGAAAGAAAGAGAAUCAAAUGGACCUAGAGGGAGGAAUCUAAUGUAUAAUGUGCCAGAAUGCUUGGAUUUUUUUCUUUCUGCUUUUAUUUUUUUUAACUUUUAAUUUCAGCCCGAUGGUAGGGAAAGUAAGCAAUUAGUUUGACUCUGUAGGUUCAAAGACUACAUCCAGGGCUGGGGAUUUAGCUCAGUGGUUUUGCCUCCUGCUGCGCAAGUGCAAAGACCCGAGUUCGAUCUCCGGUACCAAAAAAAAAAGGACUACAUCCAAAGUGAUAAAUCCUGAGUUUCUAAGAGUAAUUCAUACAUUCCUAGCUUUAAUUAGAAAUAGCAUGUACAUUUUUCUCUAUGCAGUAAUUGUCUGACAUUCAUGUGUUUGUCUCAAGGGACUGACAGUUCUGACUCACAGGUAGAUCUCUAAAUAUUUUCAGAUGAAAUUAACAUGGAUUUAAGGAGGACUUAAGAAGAAAACCAGAUCCUAGUUUGUUGUCCCUCUUGAAGUGUGUUCGACAUGAUAAAAUAUACAAACAUGGCCAAUUGUCCAGGCUAUCCUCGAGAUGGGAUUUUUAAUAAAAACUAUUUGAAGUUUUACAGCAGUUAUAGAUAAAAUCUUACCACAGAAAUGGUGCUGUCUUUUUAUAGGGGGGAUACUAAUUAUUAGCUUUUUUAAAAAAAUUAGUUUUUAAUAGCAGCAUUCGUUUAAAGAGAGAAAAAAAUGCUUAUGUUACCUUCUGGAAUGUACAUUCAUCUUGUUAAUGACACUGUAGUUCAUGGUUGGCAAAACAGGACUUCUGAAUCAACCUGUCUUUUUCUUUCCGUUUGGUAGUUACACUUGAGAAAGAAAGCCAGCCCACUAAAGAUACAUGAAAAGUGCAUGAAGACAGGAUAAAGGAUUUCCUAUGAUUUUAUGUUGUUCUUAAUUAGGAAGCAUAUUGGCAACAAAUGCUAACAUGUGUUAAGAUGUUUAGUUGUAGCCAAAUAAAUGUUUUCUAUUACAACUCUGAAUUCCAUGCCUACUAGGAAACCAUGCUGUUCUGUGCAUGGCUUACAAAAUCCCUUUACAAAUCAUCUCAAGGACCAAUUUUCUGUUGGCUCACAGAGCAAAACUACUUUCGCCACAUGUUCUCCUGAAGGGUCAUGGGCAACUCCAAGCGGAAGUCAAAGACAAGAGGAACAUGAUCUCCGAUGUUGGAACUGCACUGCUUUGUGGUAAUGAAUGGUCCUUCAUGAGCAUACUCAAUGUGAGCCCAGUCUCAGAAGGGGGUGUCCAGAAGCUAGGGAGCAGCACCCUCUCAUCUGUGUUUGUUUUUAUCUCAGUGGAGGAGAAGCCAAGUGAAGAAGAAUUUCCUAUAACUUCUGCUAGCAGUGUAUCACAAAAUGCUUCAUCUCCGAUGAACAAGAGUAGGCACCAAGCUGAGUAACAAGGCUAGAGAGGAUCCUUAUCUUGAUCAUUGCGUAUUUUUAAAGAGCAAACAUUUAUUUUCUACUUCUAAUGUCAGAAGUUGAUUGAAAAAGAACAAAAAGUGAAUGGUGGUGAAGUUGUUUCCUAAAAUUUAAUAUUAGGGCACCUUCUCUAUUCAGGAUCUUAUGUUGCAAGCUAACUGUACAACUGUCAUGCUUUUGGGGGGUAACUGGUGCAUGGAUUAUUCUAUCUGUGUCUUAGAAACUUUAAGAGAAAAGAUUUCCAUCAUGGUAUUUUCUACUGCAUUGCACAGAAAUUUUACAUACCCUCAUUCAUUUACACAGCUGAAAUGACACAGGAGAUAGCCAGCAUCUGUCCAUUGGUUGGAAAGCACUCUAGUUUUUUGAUAUCAAUAAGUCAAUGGAAUCCAUGACUUACAGCAAUCUUGCGGUAUUCAUUCAAUAUGCUAUGACCAUGUUACCUAAAAGCUUCAUCUCUGCUCCCUGCAAUAUUCUUCCUCCAAUUUUUGGCUGGUGUGUUCUCUCCCUUCUUCAUGCCUUUUUUCAAUUGUCCCAAUUCCUGAAGCUUCUCCUCAUGUCUCAAGUAUUCUCUUUCCCUGUGUGCAAUUAUUUUGUUUUCUUCAUUAAUUUAGUUCCUCUCUCCUCUUCUAGGCUAUACAUUUCAUGAGGAAAGAAAGGCAUUUUGGUGUCAUUCUGGUGCCUAAGAACCUAAGUAGGAGAUGUGUAAUAAAUAAUUUGUUCACUGAAUUAACAGGCCCAUAAUAUUUUUGUUAUUCCUCUCACAUCCAUGGGCAACAUGUUCAAAACCUUGAAAAUUAUUAAAUCAUUUCUCUGCAUUGCUAUGUAAAACUUCUAAUAUUCCUAAUAAGACUGACCAUGCUUAUGAAAUCUUUUUUCCUUGGCCCACUGAGUAUAUGGACCACGAAAUAUUUAACAAAAAAGUGAGACUGUACAAAGAAGCACUAGGUUAGUGAAAGAUGAUUUUUUUUUUUAGUGCUUUUAGGUGGUGACCUCUUAACAAUGUAUCAGAUCUUUUGUAAACCGUGAAAUGAAAUGACUGGCUAUCGGAACUAAAUUUGAAGAGAAAAACUGUCAUCUUCAAAGCAGUAAAAUCUCUAUAUAACCAUGUAAACUAAUUACUAGGUUAAGUAAAAUCACUGAAAUAUAUCAGGCCUUUCUCAUGUCUGCAGGGCAGACAUAAUACAGUAAAUUUCUAAUAGUCAGCCUGGGAAGGCGCUGUAAUGGUUAGAGGAUGUCAUGGUAAUAGUCUCAGUUUUGGUUGGGAGACUUACAAAGAGAAUAUUGGUUGUACAUAAACUGUAGAAUCUACUUGAAUAUUUCUUUUUCAUUUCUCCCUAUCAAAGAGUGGAAGAUAUUUUGUGUAUAAUGUUUUUUUUUAAUUUUAGAUUAUUUGGUAUAUUGUAUUUUUUCAUGUGGGUAACAAAAAUACGUGAGCAAGAGCAAAACCUACCAGAAGCCUCAAAAACAUAGGUACCAUGGAAGACCUCAUGAUUCUUUCAAUUAUUAAAAAGCACUAUUUUAAGAAGACAUGUUAGUAAUCCACAGUAAGUCAGAAGUAUUGGAUCAACACAUUGGAACAUUGAGUAUUUAUUUAGUUUUUGGUGCUGGGGCUGGAACCUAGGGUCUCACAUGUGGCAGGUAAAUAUUCUACAACUGAGCUGUACCCCUAGUUCUGAAUGUUUGUUUUAUUAGGUCAUUUUAUAUACAUAUAUAUUUAAAUUUGGGACAUUGUUUUCUAAAGUCUCAAACUACUCUUAUACUCAACCCCGAAGACAACCCAGCUCACCACUCUGGAUUACGACUAACUGUUUGCGUAUAUGUUUUUCCCAAGAAAUUAUGCACCUUGAAGAAAAAGACUUCAUUUUUUUUUGCUUCACAAUAUUUCCCAUGACCCAGUGCAUGGAAUGGAUAAAUUACCCUUAGCAGAGGCUCAUCAGCGAUUCCUGACUUCCCUGCUAACUUUUCCUAGAGAUGUGAAUUAAAGAUAGAAAUUUGUUCAGACCAUUGAUGGUCCUCAGAAAUACAAUCUUAAAAAGUUGAUAUCUAUCCGGUCUCAAUUCAUGGAGAGCGGUGGGAACCAGACCUCUGAAAAGUGGUUGAGUAUUGGGCUACAAGCUUAGGGGAUAGUCCAUGAGGAAUAAAACCAAAAACAUACAUUAACAUUUAUUUGCCCAAACGGCUGGUGCCUUAAAAGCUGGUGCCCUCCCCCAUUCCAAUUAACAUGGAGGGAAAUAUUCCAGCUGCUGGGAUCUUUCCUCUGCAUGCGAACCUGCCGUUGUUGCCUGGGUAGCCUGUGUGUCUCUUUGGAAUUGAUAAUGAGGUUCAAGAGAGAGAGGUAUGGCCUGUACUAAGCAUGUCACCCCUAUUUAGCACCUUUGCCAGGAUGGCAGCCACUAUUGUUUUAUUAUGUCCCUGAUCAGCUGGCACUAUUCAUAAAGUAAUCACUGCCAUUAACACAUCACGCCUCAAGCCAUCUGCUGCAGCAUCACGUACACCAAGCUGUUGGUUGCAAGCAAAGCAGGUGUCAUCUAAGGAUAGUGGCACGGUAAAGGUGGGAAGUCAUCAUAGUGAAAGAAGAUAUGUUCUAUCAAAUAAUUCCAUAUUUUGAUACAUUAUAGUAUAAUAGGCCAUGGUUAUUUUGCCCAACUUGCAGAUGGCUUAAAUAAGAUAAUUCAAGUUUGAAAUAUUUUAUUUUCAACACCGGUCAGUUAUGGAGCCAAAAAUGUCCUUGAAUACCUUGAUGAUAGCAUCUUGAUCACAAGUGGACUAUUGCAUUAAUUUGCAGUAAAGUUUAGAGCAUUCUUACAGAAGCCUUCCUCUGAUCAAUCAACUCUUCAAGUGACAAACAUUUACUGAGCAUGUAGUAAGUGACACUGAUACCUGUCUUGCUCAAAUUGUAAAAGUACUAGUUUAAAACAUGAUCUGGUAAUGUAUAUGGUAGAGACUCCAUGUGUACUGAAUUCCCACCCUUUGUUCUGUCCCUAACACUUCUCUUGAUUUUUGAAUAAUUUUAAGUUUUUAUUACUUUCCAUAUUGAUGGCAUUUUUAUGUCCAAAACAAGUUUACAUUGGAAAAAUAUAAUGAUUAAAUGCAAUCUAUAAAAAUGGAUAAAGUAUAGGAUGAUCAGUUAUUGCCACCCUCUUCAUUAUGAAGGGGAUUUGUGAUUAUACAAUCAUGAGUGGAGUUAAAAAUUUAAUUGAAAGUGUUAAGUGAGGUUAGGGAGUGAAAUAAGUGAUCAUACUUGGUCCAAAUAGUCUUUUCCACCUGCGUGUAAAGUGGAACUGCAUUCCUUGUUUCUUUAACUAUAGAAAAUUUAUCUAUUUGCUCUGUACUCCCCCCAUAAAAAAGAAAUAAUAAAACAUUAAUGAGAGUAGCUAACUCUGCCCUCUAUUUCAAUCCCCAAGCUUUGCUCUUAUCUUGGAAGUGAGAAGUGUUGGAUGAGGGGUUGGAUCUGCCAGCCCCUCUGUUACUUUUAGCAGCAUCCUGCUCUUCACUUGCUAAGGAUAUAUGUGUCUGGCUAUGCAGGCUGUGGUCCUAGGGUCCAUGUAACACAGCACUGUUCACCAGGACACACCUGUCCACAUAUCCUCUAGGCUACUGGGUGGUCUAAGGGAUUUUUAAGGCUAAAUUUGACUUUACAUUUAGAACUUCACCUCUAUGGGUGUAUGUUAAUCACCCAUGGAAUUGGUGAAGGCUACCGGAUUCCAAAAUCUAUUGAAAGCAAAGAUAGCCAUUUUCUAUAUCAAGAUUUCUCAACUACUUUUGAACUCAACUUCCUUUUGAAAGACAAAAGAAACGUCAAGCUCUCUUCUCAUCCCUGAAGAUUUGUGGAUCCAUCUGUUGUCACCAAAAAGACACUCUCAAGAUCUACUUUUGUAGGUGGAGUUAAGAAAAACGUUUUAAAACUUCUCUUCUUGCCUUUACACCCUGAGAAUUUGGAGUGUAGAUUUCAGAUGGGAAGUAGACUACUUUUCACUAUCAAAUACUCAAUUGAAGGCAAGAUUUAGUUAUUUUGACUUGAAGAUUGAAAUUUUGGAGUCUGGAAUGGCUACCUUUGAAAAUAUAAGUGAAGAUAAAAAGACACAAAUGAAGAAUCAAAGAACAAGCUAAUGAUUAUUGUCCUUUUCUAAGGGGACUACAUAUGCUCAAUAAAUCUGUGAUUACUGACUACCUACUGACUUACAGGGACAGGCAUGCUGAUGGUUUUGGAUACUGUAAUUUUAAGUUGACUUUGCCACAUGUGAUUUAAUACUUUGAAUACAAAGCCCCCAAAUUGUUUGCUAUUUUGUUUGGAUCAAAAUGUGUAGCUCAAAUGACUUUGUAAGACUGGCUUCUCAAACUAUCACCUGCCCUUACAUCAGGCUCAGAAAGAACACAAAGACAAAAGACUCUUAGGUCCACUUCUGAUGCAUUACCAGCUCUUGCAAAUGCUCAACCAAGAAAAUACAUAAUGGUUCCUCUUUCGUCACUUUUGUUAAAAUAUUUUUGUUGAAAGUUGGUAAAAGCUGUAGAUGAGCAAGCCUGGUCAUAGGUUUGAACCUGGCACAAACGACGAGGGCACCUGGGAGAUAUUCUCCCGCUGAACAUGUCCACAGUACAGUUUUUGCCUCAGGAGCAUGUUCACUGUGGCUCUGCAGGACCCAGUUGUGUGAUAGUGGGAGGCUGAUCGACUUAAAGCACAUUGGUAGCUUGUGAACACUUAAGACUGGAAACCUUCUUUGAUAAAUGCACAUCUGUCUUCUUUUUUGAAGUCCUUAGGAAAAAUGUUGCCGGACAUUUUGCUGCCCGGAGGAGUCUAGACUUCCUUAAGCAUAAACCUUAAUCCUUCCUGGCUUCCUGCUACAAUUCUUCUGUUUCCUCCCCCAUCUUUUUCUGGGCAAAGCCAAUUCUUUUUCUCUACUCUUACCUGAGGGUCUCUGUUCACUUUUGAAGCCACAGACAAUGCAAGAAACAUUUAUUCGAAUACCUAGGCCCCAAAUGUUUCUGGAAAAAUAAAAGAUGUGUGACCAAGGACAUUACUUACCCUUUCAAUCUGUGAAAUGGAGACAAUCCAGAGAUAUCCCCUAAGGGGCCUAUGGGUAAUCAUAUAAUGUUUAUAACUCUAUAAAACAAUGGGAUACUUAUCCUUGCAAUUUGUAAAUAUAAAUUUAUAAAGACUAUAACAGUUUAACUUAUUAUAGUACUUAUCAACAUUGUUAUGUGAGUACCAUGCACUAGCCCAUUGUGUCACUGAAACCCCCUUACUGAUGUUGUUAAACACUCAGGCUUCCAGAACAUACUAAGUGUUCAAUAAAUAUAAUCAGUUACUAUUUAGAGUAAGAUAAAAAGGUAAUAAAAUAAAGCUGUAAUUCUUGUAUGUACACAGCAUGGAGGAGAAAGACUACACAGCAUGGCUAAAGACUUGGAGAUCUGACUUGAAUAUUUUAAAGGACGUAUCUUAAAGGGAUCAAGCCCAAAGAUGAUCUACCACAGAGCUACAUCUCUCGCCCUUUUUCUUUUUCUUUUUUUAUUUUGGGACAGGGUCUCACUAAAUUGGCCAGAUGGGACUUGAACUCAUGAUCAUCCUGUCUCAGUCUACCUCACUGCUGGGAUUACAGCCUCCUUGAGGUAAAAAGCUUUGCUCCACCCAACGUCCCUGCCAUGAUGUUCUGCCUCAUCCCAGAACCAAAAGCAAUGGAGACAAGUGACUAUGGACUGGAGCCUCUGAAACUGUUUUUACUUGAAGACACCGAGAACUACAGCAUCAUUCAUUGUUGGCAUGUUACAGUAGAAAGACCACUGGGCUUGGGAGUAAGAAGAUGGAAAUCAAAGAGCCAGUUUUUUCACUUCAACAAAAUGGUGCUGAAGAAAUAGGAUAUUUCAGUGGUUCCUGAGCAUAACUUACAACAUCAGCAUGGUUGGAACUCUGUGCACACAUGCGUACACAUGGAUUACCCUCCUGAGCCUUUGGUUCAAAAGAUUGGAAAUUGAUUCCUAUUGUUUACAAGCAGCUGGUGUCAAUGACUACUGAUACAUCCAUUGAAUUCUAGUUUCUUCAUUUGUAAAACAGGAAUAGCAUUUCCUAUCCGUCAUAAACGAUUGUUGUGAAGAUUAAAUGCAACAAUAGACUUGUGGCACAGGCAUAAUGCUCAGAGGAAGCUCCCUUGUUUCUUCUUCCAGUGAGCCUUCCUUGUUGUAGCUCAGAGCUUCCCAAAGGGGAUUAGCUCCAUGGGAUGCUCUGCGGAAUGACUGUGUCUUGGGCAGUUGUAUUUGACACUUAGUCUUCCUUCCUGCUUGCUAAUGGACCAUUAGAACUUUAAGGACUCUAAAAUGAGCAGAAGAAAACGGACUGGUUAAAUCUGUUGCACUCAGUGUCCCCCAAAAAGUUAUUUUACUAUUAAACUUUUUAAAGUGGCAAUUAUUAAUUGAUGUUCAACAGAGCAUGCUUCAGGGAUCACUUCCCUCUACAAUCUCUAACUAAUGUUCUACCUUUCUAUAACCUCUCUCAGGGAAUUUACUGCUUGUUUUGAUCUGAUUAAGACCCAGGCUUUCUAAUCAUCCCGGACAAUAUCUGCUCUUUUUCUGAACUACUAAUUUCAGUGGACACUCAUAUUAGUGAUGAUUCUAUUUAACUUUAACUUCCUGAGAUUAUGAAGGUAGAACACAAAUUAUCUUGGAAGAAAUUAAACCAACAAUUUAGAAAUAAAAUUAAUAACUAAACAGUAAAAAUUCACAAGUACAAGGGUGUUAAAUAAAAAAAGAGAACAUUAUAUUUUGAGAGAGCAUAACUUACUCUUGCACCCAGUUUGAUGGGAUAAAUUUAAAAGUACAAGUUUGUCUGAGAGCUAAAUUAAUCCAAUAGUCAGAAAUACCUUGAUAAAAACUUAUAAAUGAACUAAAAAUAGUUAAAUGAGAUUGCUGCUGGAGGAUAACAACAUUGAAGUUGCCAAUCUAAGAGCUAUUGAGAAGCAGAAUAUAGUUACGUAGGUUUUUGGGGUGACAUAAUUUGCCUGGUCUGUAUUUUUAAAGGAAGGUGGACUAUUUUGUUUCUAUACAUCCUCCUGGAACUGAGAAUGUAUAUCUUUAGUUGAGGUGUGUCUAUAAAAUAAUGUCUUACUUAUUCAGGCCUAAGUGGAAGAGGGUACACCUGUAUGGAUGCAUGGCUUGAGGCGAAUGAGUGAACAAGAUAGUUGGAUUCAGGGUAUAAAGUUCAAAGCCAGGUCAGGAAGAGUUAGCAUUAAGACUUUGCUUCUUCAGAUAACUACUCAAUAUGUAUAUUUUUUGCAAGCAUCUUGCUUUUGCAGGUCUGCUAUGAAAAUCUCAGAAGAACAGCUUUGCUUGUGAGCUCUCCCACAUUUCUACUCUGGUCCUGGCCAGAAAGACUGUGAGAACACCCUUUCAUUUGGUAUUUGAGCCCUUCUGCCUCUAUUCCUGGCUUCAGACCAAAGGGAAUAAAUGCAACCGAACAUUUCAGAACCUCGAAAUAGUAAACCGAAAAUGGUUUGCUCUGCUUUUGGUUCUAAAAAUGAUUGACCUGAGAAUUUUUUUUCCAAACUAUCUGCUUGGUCCAUCUCUAGUGUGGAUUACUGGACUUUAGAAACCUGAGGAGGAGAGUAUUUCUUAGAAAAUACAUAAAGAAAAUAUGCAAACAAAAUUUUUAUAAUAAAGGUGCCCAGUUGCUACAACAGAGGUUAGAUUUUACGAGCAUGGUUUAUAUUCCUGAGUAUUUAAAGCAGAAGAGGCUUGGAUGAGAAAGUGGAAAACAUGGGCUUGUAUGGUGAGCCAGUUCAUCACUAGCUUAGUGACCAGGGCAGAUUCCCUAGGCUUUGUCUCCUCUGGGCAAAAUGAAUAGAAAUCAAAAGAAUUAUACUUAUUUUAAUUGAGUCAUUAUGAAGAACAAGGUAUUUCAGAAUACCUUAAAAAUUACAGUGCCAAAGACCAUGUGAAAGUCAGUAAAUCAUAGGGACUACAAGUUUGUAUGUUACCACCAAACACACCUGGUUUCAAAUCUCUGUUCCUCUGCAUUCCAGCUCUGUGACCUGCGUAUGUCACUAAAAACCUCUGAACACUGAUUUCAUCAUCUGUGAAAUGAGGAGAGUGAUGUUGGGAGAAGAAAGUCAAAUGAUGUAAAAUGGUAUUGAUGAUGCCUAUUGUACAUACUCAUAGUUCCAGGUGCCAAUCUAGAGAACCCUCUGAACUAUUUUCCACACAGUUACUUAGUCUUCUGAAUCCCAUUGAGUUGACACAAGAAUGAUGCCCAUGUGUUGGGUGGCUGCGUAGGGGGUCAGUUUACUUGCUUGGAUCCAAAAUAUGGAUUAGGCUCAAUGGGAAUAUCCAAAGGAGAAAGUAGAACACUCUGGCCGGGCUAUGCCAAGUAUAAAGCAAUGCUGAUUUGGGUCAAUUUUUAGCAUCCACUUUUCAAUAGCAAAGAGAGAAAGGUGAAAGGUAAAACUAUAUGCAGGGCCACUUUUUGUGGAAUUAGAACACCAGGACAGAUUUUCUUACAUUAGGGAUAGGAUACUUGUUUUGUGAAAAACAGGUAUUCACUAUAACUAAAUAUACAAUGUCACUGGUAGUUUACUUGAUAUUCCCUACACACAUUAAGGAUAGGAAUUUAGUAAAUAUUUGAUUUGAUUAAAUAUUAAAGUAUCAUAUAAGUCUUCCAAUGAAAACACUGUCUUUAAUCCACCCAGCAGGACUUACUGUUCUGCUACCCCUCUAAGGUGUUUGUUAAAUAGCAUUCUCUCUUCCUCCCUUCAUAGUUAAAGUUUUUGAGUGAAUAAUCCUAUUGGCAGCAUUUCUUCAUGGAUUUGGAAUCCCUACAUUUCUCUCCCUCUGGGUAUUGACACUUCUGGGCACUUGUGACUCCCCAAGGGCCACAUCCAAUGACAGUUUGUAAAUGAGAUUCUCUUUUGCCAUUUUGCAUCUUUUACCUUCUGCAGCACUUUUUUGUCCCCUCCCCCAAUUACAGUGAAUCCUUUUCUGUCGCCUUCAGGUGCUUCCUUGGGAUUCUGUCCUUUAUCGCCUUCUCUUUACCCCAUACCUUAAGCCAACCCUGCCAAUCUACUACUCUAGUUAUCUCCCCUACCCGAAACUCUGGGCCCCCAUAAUGUUCCUCCCAAGCUUGUUAUCUUCACCUGGAUGUCGUCAAGCUUGGUGUCCAAAGUCAAAGCUCAACAACUGUCUCUGUAAGCCGGCUCCCCUCUCCUGCCCCCUUCACUUCAGCCAUUUUGUUUGUAUAUGAAAAUAAACUUCUCCUGGUGGGAAAAAUUCAAACCCUCAGCACUAUCUUGGUCCCAAGGCUCUCGUUUGACCUCAAGUUCCAGGAAAUUCCCAUGUUUAGUUGUGAGCCUGUCAAUUUUAUCUAACUAUGUCUGCCACACUUACAGGGUGGACAGAUGAUGCUUCGAGGGUCUCUGGUUCUCUCUGGGAUGUGUACUCAUGCGUUCUGAAGACAGUUGCUAUAACUCCAGCCAUUUCUUCUGUAUUUUAGACAGGAAAAGGAGAUAGACCACAGAAUCAAAGGGCACUUGCCAAUGCCCAAGGGGCAUCCUUUAAGGGGAGUUUUCUUGAAGGAACUGUUUGAUAAUCUUUGCUUAUAUUGAGUUGACCAGAGCAGAGCUGCAUCAAUCCACCAGGGAGGCAAAGAAAUAUAGUCAAAACAUCUGACCACAGUGCUGCUCCAAUGAGAUAGAACACUAUGGGAAGGGAAGAAAAAGCAGCAUGAGAUUGAGUAGAUGACCAAGGGUCUUUACAAACCCGUUCUCUUUACUUUCCUAUGUUUUCUUAAAAGAAACAACCACUGAAUUUGGAAGGAUAAAAGAGACUACAGUUCUUUCUUUCCCACCCUCAUCAUCUUACUUCAUACUCUUCUUACCUUUUUGCUUAGAUUCUUGCAAAGUUACAUGUAAGUCCCUACUCCACUUUUACUAUUUCCUCGGGUCUCCACGCAUUUAUUAAAGAAGAGAGUGUUGCUGAUGGGCACUGUGCAACAUGCUCAGGAUGAAAGAAACAAUGUCCUUGUUCUUGAUUUGAUCUACACAUUAUAUACCUGUCACAAACAUCACACUGUACCCCAUAAAUAUGCACUAUUAUUAUGUGUCUAUUAAAAUCAAUCAAUCAUCAAUCAAUCCCAUGACCUUUGUUAUGGUACAUAUAGUCCUGUCGGGGAGACCAACAUGCCAGCAACUGGUCCCAGUACACCACAUCACAGGAUGAGAUGGACGUGGACGAAAUGAAUUGAGGAAGCAGAGAGAAAACCAUGGCUACUGGAGCCUGGGAAAGUCUGAGAAGACUCUAUAGAAAAGUGGAUAUUGUCAGCUGAGUUGUGUUUUAGUAAGCAUUUCACAGGCCAACUCAAAGAGAAAUAAUAAGUUUUCUGUGUUUGCAAACUAUUGCCCAUGAAAAACUGAGGGGUGACAUACUUGACCUCACUCCAAAUUUAAUUUUUAAAGAAAGGAAUCAUAAGUAAAAGUAAUUUAAAAUAUAACAUUACAGGGCACAGUAUUGAUAAAUGAGAGGAAAACUGGUUCUUAAAGAGUGUACCACUCACUGACCAUGCCCUGAAAUUAACUGAGAACUCAUUUGUCAAGAGUGUACCUACCCUGAGAAAAUCUUCCAAUUAACAUCAAAAGUGAUCAUUCUUAACCUCUCAUGCAUUAAGAAAUUCUUGUCUGCACCUGAUGUUCUGUUCAUAAUCAAUGGAGCUCUUUAUGUAUGUUAUUUCAAAUUUAUCACCCUGUAUAUUACUAAAAUGAACGAAUUAAUAAAUGAAUCUGCUGUAGGUCCAGAAGCCAGAUUUAUUUGUUGUCUCCUGGUUCUCAUAGGAUUUUCCUUUGGUCUGUAAGUCAUUUCACUCUGCAGUUUCUCACAGUUUCCGAUAUUUAUUGAUAGCUACUGACAGCAUGUGUUGGUACUUACAGACCAAUGGUGUCUAUGUAAGAAAAAUGCUUUUUGGGAGGAUUAGAUCUGUUCUGAAAAAUGUCAGCCAUGUCACUAUCAGACUAUGCUAAGAAGACAAUGCAAAAGUCCUAUCAGUUCUAACUGUAAUAUAUUGUCACAGAAACAUGCCUCAAGAUAAAUUAAGUAAUACUUGAUGCUGUCAUGGUAAUGGGAAGAUUGAUAAGUUUAUAAACUUUGGUUGAGAACAAAUUAGUGCAAUAUUCUUGGUGGCCACUAUCACGAUAUGAGAUUAAGAUAUGUUAGGCUAUAUCCCUAAAUUUGGACCCUUAAUUUCUACCUAUAAGAAUCUACCUAUGAAAAUGAUUAAAAUUUAGAAUAUGAUGUAGAAAAUGGAAGUCAGAGCAUUCAAUAAACUGCAAAAUAUCCAAGAGCUCGAAUAUUAUGUAGUCUAUCAAAAAUUCUGUCUUCAAAUAUUUUUGAUUACAUAAAAAAGUGCCUGUUACAUUCAGUGAUGGACAAGAAGGAAAGUAUUAAGGUCUCAUCCCUCUCUAUGUGGAUAAAUGUCAUUCAUGUUUAUGCAUGCAUAUCUUUCAUGUGAUUUGCACUGGACUGCUAAGAGUUUAAGUGAUUCCUGUUAUCUUCAGGGUUAUCUAAAUUUUAUAACUUUCUACAUCAAGAAGUGUGAGUUUCAUAAUCAGGAACAAAAAAGAAAAUCUUAAAAGGAAAGCUAAACAAAGAUCAUGCAAGAGAGUAGGAAGGGUUUGUUUUUGGCCCUUUUCAUAUGUAAUUGUCUACACUAAUAAUUCUCAGACUUGCAUACCAAGUGAAGUCAAUCUCACUAAGGGUCUCAAUCAAGACUCAGGCUUGAGUGUGUGCUCCAGGCUCUGAGCAUUCCCCCAUCACCCCUCUCCAUCCUGUCCUCCAAAUUUCCAUCCAUUUUUUUUUUUCAAGCCAGGAAUGUUCCCAUAUGUCUGUAAUCCCAGCACUUUAGGUGGCUGAGGCUGGAGGAUUGCAUGUUCAAGCCCAGCCUGGGCAAUUUAGUGAAUUGGAAAGACAUUGUUUCAAAAUGUAAUAAAUGAAUGAAUGAAUGAAUGAAUAAUAAAUAAAUGAAUGGGCUGAGGAUGUACCUCAGUGGAAAGGCCCUGUGUUUAAUGCCCAGGAUUGAAAAAAGGAAUUUACUUUUUUACCAAAGCACAGCUAUUGUCAUGUGACUCCCUCCUUGAAGCAUCAUUAUAACUUCCUGACUGCUCGGCGUGCUCAGCGUGGCUCCAGCUCCUGUCCACCGUCUGAUACCUUUUGUAUCGCCUCAUCUUCUGACACUCCAGCCCAGCAGGCGUCUGGUUCCCUUCACGACACGCCUCACUCUGCCCUCCCAGUCACUGUUUCCUCAUGUUUGUUCGUUCUGCUCACCCUUCAAAGCCCUGCUAAAAUUCCUAGAAUGUUCAUUGUGAAUGUUUUCCUCCAUCAUUUCCUCUGUGGACUGUAUUGGUCUCUUUUAUUGCAUUUACCAGGAUUUAACUUGUUUCAUGCUUACUUGUGUCUUUCUCUUCUUGUGUUGUUAGCCCCCCAAAUUAUACCAUCUGUUGUGAUUUUCAGUUGUUAGCAGGUAUUACAGUCAUCUAAGGGUUAAUUAAAACAGAAAUUUGGGGUCCCAUUCCAAGUAUUUCUAAUGCAAUAUACCUGUGGAGGGGCAUAGGAAAGUCCUUUUCCAAUAAGGCCACAGGCGCUGCUGCUACAGUUGGUGACAGAAAACACUUUGAGAACCAUUGCUUUCCAAGGAGGGUGAGAAUGAUGUAAAACAAAUGAGACUCUGCUUUGCUGUGGAAGAUAGAGCACGGAUAGUGAAAUCAUAGGAUUUCAUGCAACUUGGGUUAGAUUUCUGUUCUGUCACUUGAUGUUUGAACAAGUUACUUAACCUUUCUAAGAAACUUAACUUUCUUGCCAGGUAGUUUAGGAACAUUAUUAACUCUUAUAUAAGAAUUUUUUCUGAGGGUUAUAUAGGAUUGCAAAAUACCCAAUAAAUGGUGGCUACUACUAUGAAUCCAUUUAUUCUACAAAAUAACCGUGUAAGAUACGUUUUUGCUCCCAUUGGCCGUACUGUACCCCCAGACAGCUUCUUGGACUUUUAAUUAAAG